GUCAGGAUGGCCGAGAGGUCUAAGGCGUCGGACUCAAGCUCUGAAAGAAGGUGUGGGUUCGAAUCCCACUUUUGACA